GAUGAACGCUGGCGGCGUGCCUAAUACAUGCAAGUCGAGCGAACAGACGAGGAGCUUGCUCCUCUGACGUUAGCGGCGGACGGGUGAGUAACACGUGGAUAACCUACCUAUAAGACUGGGAUAACUUCGGGAAACCGGAGCUAAUACCGGAUAAUAUAUUGAACCGCAUGGUUCAAUAGCGAAAGACGGUUUUGCUGUCACUUAUAGAUGGAUCCGCGCCGCAUUAGCUAGUUGGUAAGGUAACGGCUUACCAAGGCAACGAUGCGUAGCCGACCUGAGAGGGUGAUCGGCCACACUGGAACUGAGACACGGUCCAGACUCCUACGGGAGGCAGCAGUAGGGAAUCUUCCGCAAUGGGCGAAAGCUUGACGGAGCAACGCCGCGUGAGUGAUGAAGGUCUUCGGAUCGUAAAACUCUGUUAUUAGGGAAGAACAAAUGUGUAAGUAACUAUGCACGUCUUGACGGUACCUAAUCAGAAAGCCACGGCUAACUACGUG
rnacentral:rRNA from 1 species